CAGAUGUGAAAGACCCGGGGCGUCAACCUCCGGAAUAGCAUUUGUAAACUAGGCAGACUAGAGUACUGUAGAGGGGGGUAGGAAUUUCAGGUGUAGCGGUGAAAUGCGUAGAGAUCUGAAGGAAUACCGGUGGCGAAGGCGGCCCCCUCGGACAGAUACUGACACUCAGAUGCGAAAGCGUGGGGAGCAAACAGGAUUAGAUACCCUGGUAG
rnacentral:rRNA from 1 species